rnacentral:rRNA from 1 species
UACGGAGGGUGCAAGCGUUGUCCGGAUUUAUUGGGUUUAAAGGGUGCGUAGGCGGAUAUUUAAGUCAGUGGUGAAAGCCCACAGCUCAACUGUGGAACUGCCAUUGAAACUGGAUAUCUUGAGUAUUGUUGAGGUAGGCGGAAUUUAUGGUGUAGCGGUGAAAUGCAUAGAUACCAUAAAGAACACCGAUAGCGAAGGCAGCUUACUUAGCAAUAACUGACGCUGAUGCACGAAAGCGUGGGGAGCGAACAGG